CUGAACAGUAUUAGUCAAAUCAUGGAAGAGUUAUGUGAGGAAGUUCUCUUACUGAAGUAUCUUCCCUUGUAAGGGAUGACAGUCAUUAGUGAAAUUCAGAAUCCUCUGGUAUUAUAAAUAAGGUGUACAUCCUCUCCUUCCCCUGAUCCCGCAGUCCCACAGCAACAGCUGAGGUUCUUUCAUGCACCUCAGCUGGGACUGAAAUGAGUGGUGCUCACAUUCAGUAGGUUGGCCAGGAUGACAAGAGCUCAAGGAUGUGUCUGGGGAGUAUAUCUUCAGGGUCUGCUGAGUGCUGUAGUGAUUGGCAGGGCUGUGGAAGAGUCCCUGAAACCUGCACAGUAGUAGCACAGGAGGAGAGGGUCUCACAGGUAAACACAGGGCCUGCUGCCAACAUGGAGGACAAGCCUGACUAUUAAAGUUUCAUCAUGUUCCUAACAUUUCCAAGGCCAAACAAGCACUGGAAAAUAUGUUAGAAAGACCUGCAUUUUGAUAGCUCCAGCAUGCUUUCCAUGAAAUACACUUGAAGACGCUCUGUAGCUAAUUGGAGUUAGUCUGCAUGCCAAGAGAAGUUUUGAUGAGCUUCUAUAACAUUCACAGAAACAGGACUUGGGAGACUUUCAUUUUCCUGCACUAUUACUGCUGUGGAAGUAGAGUGUGACCACUAUGCUAUCACAUAGCAAGACAGCCAGAGUUUUCCCUGGAAGAGGUGAAUAAUGGUUGGAGGAGCAAACAUUGCCCCAGCAGUUGAUUGCCUCCUCUCAGCCCAGCACCCAGACCCUAUUGCUUUACACAGGGAUGGAGAGAGCCAGAAGCUCCAAAGGGGAGGUACUCUCAGCCUGUUCUACCUAGUAAUAGAGAAAAACAGAGAUGUAUACAAAACAUCUAGUUUUCUGAUGCCUAUGGAACAAUAUUUGAACAUCUUGGACCUUCUUCGGGCAACCAAGGAUGGAAGAAGUCUAUAUUAAUACUUGGGAGGGAGGAUCACACAGAGUAGAGAACAGCGGUGUACCAUAACCACUACUGAAAUAACUAUAGUCUGAGAAACCGUGAGCCCAAGAAAAAUGGAAGGGAUUCAGGUUUGAAUUAUGAAGGAUUUACCCUCCAAGGGCUAUGUCAAUGUUCAUGUUGGUUUUCAUUUUAGUCAUAAUGGGUUUCCAGUUUCUGCUGUAAUUCAGUAUCACAAUUAGAUGGAUGCUUGUUGAAUGCUGCUGGUCACUGGUUAUGUUUGAAUGUUAUACAAAUGUAGUCAGUUAAGUACCUGUUACUACUCUUUCUGUUUGUAUGCCAAAACCAUAGCUUGAUCUGUUAGGAGUCUACAAACAUAAAUAUUAAAUUUUAAGGUUUUUGCUUCGAAGUAUAGAAUUUUUAAAGAUGAAAAUGCAUUUUCUCUUGAAUCUUGGUCAUUCAGUUUCAAAUCUCCCAAGCAUGAGGCAGUUUUCUGGGGAAGAACUAAUUUUUGUUAUUAAUGAAAUAAAGAUUUCCUCUGUUAAAUUUAAUCUAUGAAA
rnacentral:lncRNA from 1 species